CUCAUCAUUCAUCACCAAUUAAAUAAGACGCCACCGAAAAGUCGGAGAAAGCCAACCAUUCGAACAACCCAACCGCCUUCAUCUUCCAUCUUCUUCUUCACUAAUAAAACCAGUUAGGGUUUAUCAAUCUAAACCCUAACCCUAACACCAUGGCCCGAUCUCCAUCCUCCACGUCGCGUCUACUCUACACUCUCCGUUAUGCGACCUUUUGGUAGUCUGUCGUUCCCAUCUCCCCUAUAACCUGAUUUUCCGAUCUUAAAGGUUACAUCAAUGGAGAUGACUCUCAUCUUCCCCCUGACCUGUUUUCAAUUCUUACCUCAAUCGACCAGAUCUGAGAUUGAUAGAUUAUUUAAAAAAUCUAGGGUUCCAUGUCAGAACCGAAGGUGAAAACAAAGAUUCAAGUUGAUUUGAGAUCCACCUACGAGGAUUCAGAAAUAGUUAACUAGAGAGAUAAAGAUGGGGCCAAUGCUACAAAGGCCACUUUCUAUUAGAUAAAACGACAUUUGGCAUCUGGGUCGGAUCGAAAUCUUUUGCAGGGUCUUCUUCUUAAGCGAUCUGAAACGAGCGGCUGCAAAACUUAGCGAUAAAUACCCUAAUAGGGAUUAAUCUCAUUCAGUGUUGUUAUGCCUGAUUUCCAUCAUAUAGGUUUGUGGUACAGUUCUUAUGCAGUUAUAGCACCCUACCAAUGUAUGCACUUGAUACGCAGAUGGGUACAAAUUACAAGGCUGAAUUAAUUCCCCAAAGAACUAGAGAUACAAUCCAUGGUUGGGGAAAAGAAGCCAGA